GUUUUAAUAGUUUAAAAUAAAACAUUGGUCUUGUAAAUCAAAACUAAGAUUUAAUAUCUUUUAAAGCU
rnacentral:tRNA from 1 species